UGAUUGCUUCAGUUGGAAAAUCUCAUUUGAGCCACACAGCGGAUAAAAAAGGAGAGCGCCAGCUCCUUCGGCCAUGGCGCUUCUUCUCCCCCGACUCCCUUCUUCUCACCAGCCUCAUCUCUCUCCUCCACUCCCGAAACCUUCUCAAACCCAAAUCCUCUUCCCCUUCUCCGUCCCCAGGAUUCCCAAUACUCGAAGCAGCACGAGAGGAAUCCUUUUCCUCCAGCGACCUUUCUCUUUUAUCGCCACUCUCAGCACCAGCUCGGCCACAGCAACAGCAGCAGCAGAGGAGUCGGCAGAGAUCUCGAGGGAGGCUCGGAAGCGGCUGAUUGCGCAGAAUAUACCUUGGACUUGCACCGCCGAGGACAUCAGAAAUAUCUUCGAGAAGCACGGAACCGUGACUGAUGUCGAGCUCUCAAUGUACAACAGCACUAGAAACAGAGGAUUGGCAUUUGUCACAAUGGCUUCGGAGGAAGAAGCACUUGCAGCCCUUAACAAUCUGAAUUCAUAUGAUUUGGAUGGUCGAGUGAUUAAGGUGGAAUUUGCCAGAUCAUUGAAAAAAGAUUCUUCAGUGGCAAUGGUUCCUGUAUCGAAAUACAAUGUUUUUGUGGGGAAUUUAGCUUGGCGGGUAAGGUCUCAUGAUCUUCGAGAACUCUUUAAUGCCAGUGGGAAUGUUUUAUCUGCUGAAGUGGUCUUCCAGAGCAAUCCAAGAAGAUCGGCAGGCUAUGGAUUUGUCUCCUUUGCUUCAAAAGAAGAAGCGGAGGCUGCAAUAGCUACUUUCAAUGGGAAGAAAUUGAUGGGAAGGCCAAUAAAUUUGGCUUUUGGUAAAAUUCAAACCGACAGUGCUGAAGCUAAAUUGUCUACAAAUGAGCAAUUAGAUGAGGCAUCUAGCGCAGCAAAUGGCAGUGGAGAGCAAUCAAACCAAGAUGGUGAAAUGUGAGGAAAAUAUGAGGAGGAUAUUGUGGUGUAUUCCAUGGGAUUGAAUUCGCCAUAUCCAAAACCCUGCAUGAUGUGAGAAAUGCAGAGAAAGUCACCGAUUAUGGAUGCUCUCUCUUUUUCUGUCACAUAAUGACAUGCAUGGGCACACAGGUAAUUAAGUCCAAAUCAAAAUUUGUUUUUAAGGCAAAUUUGCCUAGGCUCAUCUGUUCUGAUGGUUGUGUAGGUCAUUGCAGGAGUCAACCGAAGCCCACAAGACUGCAAGGAAAACAGCAACACUUCGUCAUGAGUUUGUCUGCUUAAUUUCACGAUAAGUAAUAUCAAUAUUUUUUAGAUAAGUAAUAUUACUAAACCUUAACAAAAAUCAGCUAUAACUUAAUUUCUCGAUACAAAUGAAAGAAUUACAAACUACAAUAUCACCGCAUUCUCCUCAAAUUUAAUCUAAAUUUCCGCUCUUAAUGACUACUAGAAUAGAAAAAUCUCUCAACAAAGAUAAUGGGGCUCGAAAUUAGGACAUCAGACAGAUUUAAUAAGGAUAAUGGAUUCCUACCGCAAGGCAAUGGGAGAAGAGGCUAAGAAUCUCAGUCCUCAUCUUGUCAAAUGUCAGGUAAGAUGUGAACUCCUAGCUUUCAGCCAUUGAUGCUCUUAGAGCUUAGCUUGGGCCUCACACUUUACUUCACCAGCCAGCUGGCUGCCAAGUCAUAAAUCAAUAUGAAGGAAUGACAGUGAUUUUUGUGCAAGCUCUGUAGAUUCGCCAUACCGGCCGGUAUCGUACUAUACCGAACAUACCGUACUGUAUCUGUACCAAAUUGAUAUAUGCAGUUUCAUAAACACCGAUGCUUGAUACAUCUUGUCGUCUCAUAUCAUAUCAUGUACCAAUAUUGUAAUUUCACUAUAUUUGAAUCAGUUUAUAGUCUUAGCGGCCA